rnacentral:lncRNA from 1 species
GCUUACGUGGGCUGCGGUGGGGUGGGGUGCAGAGAAAACGAUUGAUUGCGAUCUCAAUUGCCUUUUAGCUUCAUUCAUACCCUGUUAUUUGCUCGUUUAUUCUCAUGGGUUCUUCUGUGUCAUUGUCACGUUCAUCGUUUGCUUGCCUGCUUGCCUGUUUAUUUCCUUCCUUCCUUCCUUCCUUCCUUCCUUCCUUCCUUCCCUCCUUCCUUCCUUCCUUCCCUCCCUUACUGGCAGGGUCUUCCUCUGUCUCUGCCGCCCAGGAUCACCCCAACCUCAACGCUUUGGACCGACCAAACGGUCGUUCUGCCUCUGAUCCCUCCCAUCCCCAUUACCUGAGACUACAGGCGCGCACCACCACACCGGCUGACUUUUAUGUUGUUUCUCAUGUUUUCCGUAGGCGUCAUCUCACGUGUCGAGGUGAUCUCGAACUUUUAGGCUCCAGAGAUCCUCCCGCAUCGGCCUCCCGGAGUGCUGUGAUGACACGCGUGGGCACGACGGAGUUUCACUCUUGUCGCCCAGGGUGGAGUACGAUGGCGGCUCUCGGCUCACCGCACCCUCCGCCUCCCAGGUUCAAGUGAUUCUCCUGCCUCAGCCUUCCCGAGUAGCUGGAAUGACAGAGAUGAGCCAUCGUGCCCGGCUAAUUUUUCUAUUUUUACUACAGAUGGGGUUUCUCCAUCUUGGUCAGGCUGGUCUUCAACUUCCGACCGUUGGAGAAUCUUAACUUUCUUGGUGGUGGUUGUUUUCCUUUUUCUUUUUUUUCUUUUCUUUUCUUUCCUUCUCCUCCCCCCCCACCCCCCCUUGUCG